GACGAACGCUGGCGGCGUGCCUAAUACAUGCAAGUCGAACGCACCGUUUAUACCUUAGCUUGCUACACCAUAGACUGUGAGUUGCGAACGGGUGAGUAACGCAUAGGUAACCUGCCUGUUAGCGUGGGAUAACUAUUGGAAACGAUAGCUAAUACCGCAUAAUAUUAAUUAUUGCAUGAUAAUUCAUUGAACGGUGCAAUUGCACCACUACCCGAUGGACCUGCGUUGUAUUAGCUCGUAGGGGAGGUAACGGCUCAACUAGGCUACGAUACAUAGCCGCCCUGAGAGGGUGAUCGGCCAAACUGGGACGGAAACACGGCCAAGAACACUACGGGAGGCAGCCGGAGGGAAUCUUCGGCAAUGGCCGAAAGGCUGACUGAGCAACGCCGCGUGAGUGAAGAAGGUUGUCGGAUCGUAAAGAUCUGUUGUAAGAGAAGAACGGGUGUGAGAGUGGAAAGUGCACACUGUGACGGUAUCUUAACAGAAAGGGACGGCUAACUACGUG
rnacentral:rRNA from 1 species